CCAAAUGAUAUGAUCCCCCUAUAGGCCCCUUUUUCUUAAAAUGUAUUUUAAGAUUAAUUUACUUUGUGAGAAAAAAUAAAUGACAGCUGUACUAAAGCCAAAAUAAAUAUUUAGAUGUUAUAUUUAAAUAAGCAUUAGCUGUAAAAUAUUUUUCAAUUAAUUCAAAUAAUUAAGUUUUUUUUUUUUUUUAACAGACUCUCAUGCGACCUCUUCUUGGUGUCCCCAGACCAUUUUGAAAACACCUGGUCUAAAGAGACAUGUAAUCUGUCUUUGAAAUCCAUUUUAUUUUUAUUCAAAUUCCCUUUUUAUGUUUUAAUUUUUCUAGAAACUGUUGUAAUGGUUAAAUUAAAAAAUAAUAAUCAAAAAGCAUGUCCAAUUAAUUGAAAUCACACAAUUUCACAGCAAUUUAACAAAAAUUACCUUAAGGCCCUAUGAAAUCUGUUUUACUUUUUUCUCAAAUUCAGUUUUAUUUGUUACCAAAUUCUGUUUUACAUUAAUUAUCUGGAUUAUAUUUUAAAGGGUUCAUUAAUUUUCAAUAAUUAAAAGCAGGUCUAAUUUAUUUAAUAAAAAUACUUUUUUAAUUAUU
ensembl:lncRNA